AUUGAACGCUGGCGGCAGGCCUAACACAUGCAAGUCGAGCGGAGGAAGGGAGCUUGCUCCUGGAUUCAGCGGCGGACGGGUGAGUAAUGCCUAGGAAUCUGCCUGGUAGUGGGGGAUAACGUCCGGAAACGGGCGCUAAUACCGCAUACGUCCUUAGUGAGAAAGUGUGGGAUCUUCGGACCUCACGCUAUCAUAUUAGCCUAGGUCGGAUUAGCUAGUUGGUGGGGUAAAGGCCUACCAAGGCGACGAUCCGUAACUGGUCUGAGAGGAUGAUCAGUCACACUGGAACUGAGAAACGGUCCAGACUCCUACGGGAGGCAGCAGUGGGGAAUAUUGGAGAAAGGGCGAAAGACUGAUCCAGCAAUGCCGCGUGUGUGAAGAAGGUCUUCGGAUUGUAAAGCACUUUAAGUUGGGAGGAAGGGCAGUAAGUUAAUACCUUGCUGUUUUGACGUUACCAACAGAAUAAGCACCGGCUAACUUCGUG
rnacentral:rRNA from 1 species